rnacentral:rRNA from 1 species
UACGUAGGGCGCAAGCGUUGUCCGGAAUUAUUGGGCGUAAAGAGCUCGUAGGCGGCUUGUCACGUCGAUUGUGAAAGCCCGAGGCUUAACCUCGGGUCUGCAGUCGAUACGGGCUAGCUAGAGUGUGGUAGGGGAGAUCGGAAUUCCUGGUGUAGCGGUGAAAUGCGCAGAUAUCAGGAGGAACACCGGUGGCGAAGGCGGCAUCCUGGACCGGCAUUGACGCUGAGGCGCGAAAGCCAGGGGAGCAAACGGG